UCAAGUGGAGGAACUGUUUUGGAAGAGACCAUGGACCUGUCGUCUUGACAGAUUACAGAUGAAUGAAUGAAUGUUAUCCCUAAGCUUAAGAAUCAUAUGUGGAUAUAUAUUGGGGGGGGAUAUCUCCAUGCAUUCUUAUCCUUGGUACCAGAUGGAGAUGAGUGGUCAGCAUCAAGCUCCAGCCAGCUUUAUCACUGUUGCGUAUCAGAUCCAGGACCUAAUAACUUGCAAUCUGUAAUUAUCCACCAGAAAGAGAAGAUGUAAACAUAGUUAUACAAGAUAGGAAAGGAUACGUCCAGAACAGCACAUAUGU